GUUGGUGUAGGAUUUCCAACUUAUGAAUGAAGAGUAGAAAUAGGAACUAGUAGCAAGGUUGCGAUUGGCUCAACUCUGCAGUGCAGUUGGCUUGAAGCAUCAAUCCAAUGCAUGACUUUUAAGAACAAGGACUCGACCAUACAAAACUGAUCCUGCCGAAGCUAAGAAGCAAGAUACAUGGCGUCCCAAGUCCAUGCUAUUGUUGCUACCGUGUUCGUUGACAGAUGCCGCUAGCUUUGCCACCUACAGAGGCAUCGGCGCAAAGUGGAUGUCCAGAAUGUGGAAGUGCAGCUGCCCAGUCACUCCUAGGUUUGUCCAUGUCUCGCUUCAGAAUUUUUGGGCUUGAAUGUUUAGCUAAUAACUUCAAUCUGUUCAUAUACUCAUGUGACAAGUUUCAUUUUAGAAAGGUCAAAGUGU